AGUUUCAAAACGAAUGCGCGACAGAACGCUGCCAAUAUUCACGUGACUCAAAGCUUGCGCCUGCAUGGUCAAAUCUCUGAAAAGUCAGUUCUGAAAAAAGACAUUGCAAUGGCGUAAACGUACACCUUUACAUGUUUUUAACACCUGUUCCCAUUUACAAGGUUUCAAAACCGGGAAACAAUGAAAUACACUGUUCGAACAGUGCCAGAUUUGAAACUCUGCAAAUGCGCAGGUGAUAUUGUUAGAACUUUGAAAAUGUGUUGGUGAAAAUUAUGAAGAUAAAAUAGAACGCAAAAUCAUGUUUACAGAUGUUUGAAUUUUAGUUUGAAUUUAUAAGCCUUUGAAACUUUUUUUUUCAGGUUGGAAUUAUGGCAGGAAACUGGCUCCAUAGCAUUGCGCUCUCGAAAUGCAUUUUGGGUCCGUCCGUUCAGACCUGUCCAUCCAUGGUUCAGAGUCGCACUCGCGACGCUCAUCCGUCGAAGGACGCAUGAUGUGUGGAACAAGCGCACAUAGGCCUACCUGAUCGCGUUCAUUUGUUCGCCUCCCUCCACCUCCCUCUCUCUCCGGUGCAUAUUUAAGCCACUUCUUCAGUGUCCCUGAAAAAACAACAUGGGUGGUCCCUGGCAGCUGUUUUUGGAGUGCAGCUGAAAGAAAGAAAGAAAGAAAGAAGGAAAGAAACCCGGUCAAGAAUUACCAACAUUGCGACGGUAAGCUGUAACAUGGCCAUGGCCACCAUGGCCAUUUUUUGCAUAGUGCACCAGGCAAAAAGUCAGCAAUUUGUUUCCUAACCACAGACCCUUAACGCUGGUGCGCAGUGCAGUGGUUUCACUGUCCUCUCGGUCUCAUUUUACUGCACUAUGGGUUACCACAUCGACUCCAUCCCAGUUACUUCUUUGAUUACAGAAUGCAUGCAUGCAGGGUUAAAUUGGUAGGCUACGGGCAUGCAUGCCCGUAGCCCGACAUACCACGAGUAGCCAAGGCUAGCGGAGUAGCGCGUUGUUACAUUCUUAUGUGAAUGUAGGCUUUCGGUGCAAGAUAGCUAGAUAGUAAAAGUAAAAUAACGUCAAACUAAAGUGUUCUAGUGCUGACGGAUAGUCCAAGAGUGCAGUGCAGAAUAUUGUCAGUGUUAAAAGCAUUGCUGCAUCUGGACACAAAACUGAGAUCGCAUAGUAGCCUAUAAAUUGACUUUUUCUGAUUUUACAUGAAAUAAGCAUAGCUCAGAAGACUACCCAUAGGGCAUAUUUAAAAAUCGACUUGCUGUUUUAAAAGCAUUUAUUUUAAUCAGUGGUAUCUGUGUCUAAUGCUUGUGUGUUGUGACUGAGUUUUGACAAACAUACCGAACAGUACAUCACUAAGGACAGUGCUUUUGAAGGCUUCCUUGAAGCCUUUCCCUGCCCAGUUGAAGCGACACGCCAGGUUAUUGGUUAGGCCACUCUGCAACAUCCUUCUUACGGCCUCUUCUGCAGUGUGCCCUCCAAUUAGACUGAAUGUUAAGAUCUGACAAGACAUAAUAAACCAACAAACAAGUGAAACAUAGAUUAUUAUAACAUGUAUAAUUACAAUAUCUCCCAAAAGUGAAUAGGCCUACACCCCUCCCAUUUUUGCAAAUAUUUUAUUGUUUCUUUUCAUAGGAUAACCCUUGGCAUGAAACUUUAUUAUAAGUUAAACUAGUCAUUAUACAUAUUGUAGAGAACUAUAGAUUUAUUGUCCUCAGAUUAUGACUAAAAACACAUCCAUUAACAACUAAACAGCUGGCCACAUAACUGAGUACACUUAAUUAUGAACAUGACCAUUGCGCCCAUAGUGACAAUAAAUCUAUCGUAAUCUACAAACUCUACACUGACUUCUUUAAGUUACAUCAACGUUUUGUGUAUAUGGAGUUAUCCCAUGAGAAGAUACAUUAAAACAUUUGAAAAAAUGGCAUAGGGUUUUGUGAGAUACUGUAUGUACCAAUUUAGGUUAGGUGAACUCCUCACUGUUUCACAUAAUGAGUAAUGCGUUAAUUUUGUUUUGAAAGAUACUUCCUACAAAUACUGAGUAAUGUAGUGGAUGGCUGGAAAGAAGAGGUAUGGUUUUAUUAAUUUACACAUAUACUUUGACUAGCUUUUGGGUAGUGCAGAUUUGUACCUACCAUCUUUUGUUUUUCGCAGGGGGUUUCUCUCAUAACAGCCUCUGCUAAUUGAAACUCCUCCAUGGUCCUCAGAGGCAGCUUGAUGGACGAAGCGGCAGCUUCUGGUGCUACCGGCCUCACCAUCUCUCUCCUAAGCGCCCUCACUUCACUCCCCAGCCCCUCCUACCUGGCCCUACAUCUACAGAUUGUCGUGCUGUUUUCCUUAGGGGGGGUGGUGCCUCGUCAUCAGUGUCCACACCUUAGCAUAGUAAGUGCCAGUUUAAUUUCAGACUAAAUGGGCAGUCAAACAGCCGUUUCUGAAAUAUUUAUAUUUUAAUUUCUAAAAUGUUUCAUUGCUGUUCAGUUUAACUCUAAAGGUCUGCACCUUCAAAAUAGUGUUGCGGCGGGCCCCUAGUGGUCUGGGCUCUUCCAGCUGGCUCCUGCAGGUAGCGUGAGUUUGGCCUUUGGAACAAAGCAAGGACAGUCAUGGCAGUCAGUGGGUAACACCAGAAAUAUUAACAGAGAACAUAUACAUUUAUGCAUUUAGCAGAUGCUUUGAGCUGAAGCGAUUUACAACAAGAGGACUAACAUUUAAGCUACAACACUAUUUUUAACACCUUGCUAAGAGUGCCAAAAAGUGCCACUAGUCACCUGAACACUGUCUGAAGUUUAAGUGCAAUAGAAAGAUGGAAGAGUGCAUUGAAAGUUAAAAAGUGUUAGGACAAGAGUCAUUCUAGGAAGAGCUGAGUUUUCAGGAGCUUUUCGAAGGUAGUGAGGGAUGAUAAGUUGCCUGUGGAUGGUUCAGAGAACUGCCUGCUAUUAGCAGCCACUUUGUCAGUAAAGAAUGAAGCAUAAGGGUCUGCUGUGAGGUUUGUAGCAAGAUGGGAAAGGUUUAGUAUUUGAAAGUAGAGAACCGUUUCCGGGUGUCAGUUGUAUUGUGAAUCUUGUCAUUGUAACAAGAAUUUUUCGCUGCUGUGACAUUGUAAGCAAAAGAUGAUAAUAGUUACUGGUAUUGUGUUAAAUCUGAUGGGUUGUUAGUUUUAUGCCAUUCUCUCUCAGCAGCCCAUGAGGUUAGAGCGCAUCGAUUGAAGGGAGUCGUUUAUCCAAGGAAGGGGCUUAGAGGGUUGGGAGGGUCUGAUGGAUAGCGGGAAUGUGUGGCCCAAUUCACCUCUGGAGAGGAGAACAUUUUUUGUUUUUUACCUUUUUUUCCUUCUGAUAGGGUCUUCAGCCUCUGACUGUAUGUCUGAUGUUAAACACAGUAAGGACUUUUUCAGGUAGUCCUUUGCCUUAACAUAUGUUGCUGAAAGUGAAUGGCAUUCAUUAGUGAAAUUUAGCAAGUUGAAUCUUAUAGAAACGUUUUCAUAUGCAGCAUUUUUCCUUACCACAGCUAACCAAGACCCUCACGUCACCGUGCACGUCCCACGCUGCACCUGGAGGAAGGUGGUGCGCGACUGCCUUCUGGAGGCGGUUAUGAUCGUAAGAACUAGGAGGCCAGAAACAAUUCCAUGACUCCCCUGCCUCCUCCAACCAGCUGCUUGGCACUAUGGUAGUGCUCCUAUCUUUGAAUUCGACGACCUUCCACACCUGUGCCAUCUGUCAAUGAGAAGACAAGGAAUUAGGAUUGGUGAAGAAGCAAGAGCAUCGCAAGAAUUGGCCAAAACUGAACUUUUGAACUCUUAAAAAUGGGUAAACCGUCGAUGUUGAAUUGUAACCGAAUUGUCUGAAGGCAGCUAGGCAAAUGGAUUGAAUUCAAUUUUGAUAAAAUUCCCUUAGCCAAUCCAAAAUGGUGAUAUUCACCACCACCUAAUGCAUGCACAGCUAUUUUCUUUUGUGUGCCAAGAAGUGUCCUGGCAUCUUUAGGCAGCUCAGAGUGGUGUACUCUCAAUAUUGAUAGAAGAGCGGUAACUGCAACAAGAGUAAUGCCAAAAGUUGAUGCCCAUUGCUUUAGUUUAACUUGUAAACUCAUUUCCUCAGGCUCACUUUCAUCAGAGCUGGAUAACCCACUAAAAUCCUCUCUUUCACUGGCAUCACUGUCUGUAGUGUUUUGGUCAGGACUGUUUGCCACUGUUGCCCCACACAGUGCUAGAUCUGGUAAGCUAGGGGGGGCAUUUUCAGCCUGAUUAACUGUACUUAAAUGUAAUUGCUGCAAAAUCUCGUUCUCUGUCUCCCUUGCGUUGGACAAGACUCGCCUCCUUUUACUCCAAUAAGAGGCCAUCUCUGUGUGUAUCGGAUACAAUUUUGAAAUGCAAGUUUGAUACCUUUUCUGCCGUGAGCUUUGAAUGGUCUUCAGUGUCCCAUAAAUAUGCAAAUGAAGAAGAAAAAAAACACAAAGUUAGUUUUGAUGGCAUAGUGUGACAACAAUGAAUAGUUGCAUUUAACCCUUUCACAUGCAAGUGAAGAAUCCCCCUUCUAAUAAUGUAUAGCCUAUUAAGGACCUAUUUCAGGAUAAAUAUACAAAUACAUUCACAUUGAAGUGUAGAAGGUCCUACAGGCAGCUGUAAUAAACUAAGAUAUACUAUUUAUGAGAUGGCUUGCAGUGUGCUUAUCUGACAGGAUUAAAACCGUGCAUUCUGUGUGAAUGUGUAUUUGAAUGUUAACAUUUAAUAACAUGUCGUUUUUAGUUAUGUAAUCAUUUGAAAGUCCCUUCAAGUUGAAAAGUACAUGCAUUCUUAUUAUGGCCACACCUGGCGUACUAGUAAAUCAACUGUGAUCAGAUUGGUUAAAAAAAAAGAGGCUGCGUGUGAUUUCAGUUCCGGUUCAAUGCAUUUGUAAUGAGGGGCCGCACUUCUGUGCAGUGUGCACAUUAGUCGUCGUUGCCAGCAGGCUGCACCCGACAGCCAAGGGAUUUACAUGUGGCAUAGCAAGUCUCUGAGCAGUGUCUCACACUCGAGUCCUGACCGAGGGCCUUGAAACUGGCAUGCCUGUUCAAAACAUCUCCAGGACAACAAGAAGAUGAAGGAGAAUGCGUGCAGUGGGCUGAAUGGAGAAUUCGUGAAUCAAAGGCAACACCAUCAAAUGCAUUAUGAAAUUAAGCACUAUCAGGUUGUCAAGGCUGUAGCUCAGCCAACACAUUGGAUCGGCCCUCCGCAUGGUCCUGUAUACCUGAUUAUUAUUUUUUUUUAACUAUUUAUAUAUGGAAUCUGAAUGCACUCUCCAAGAAAUGCUGCAGUUCUUUGUGCCACAAGAGGCCAAGAAGCUCUACUACAAGAAGUUGAGGCAGAAGAUGAAGAUUAUUACAAAUUAUCCAAGUCAGUUCCUUCCGACCAAGUAAUUUGAUUGGACAAGAGGCAUUCCAGUGCUGAUAUAGAGUAUAACAGCACUGGGUCUUUUAACUAUCCACGUAUCGCUCCGCUUUACGGGUGUUCUCAUAACCGUUAAUGUUAUCAACAAUCUUUUUGUAGCUUAGAUUGCAGCUGAAUUAAGUUGAAUUAAGAAUGGUCGCCAGAAGAGGAACAAGGGAACCUAAUGUAAUGCUAAUGUGUUUGUGUUGCUUGGCAACAGUUCAGUCCAGUUGCGGAUCUAUUUGUGUUGGCGGAGCCAAAUAAAUCAUUAAUGAACCAAAGAAAUCUGAACAUAAUAUGUUGUUAAUUAUUAUUGUUAACUAAUGAUUGGUGCUUGUAGAACUGUUGGAUAAAAGCAAUAUCACUCAGGAGUGAGUGCUGUUGUACUACGGCUGGGAAGAGAAUCACAGCCGUGCUGAUAUUCAGUACAACAGCACUCCCUCUUGUGUGAUAUUGCUUAAUUAUUCUGUUCCAAAAUUCCAUAAAAAGUCUCAUUACUAAGAAAUAUUGAUGUAUAGUUACUUUUGUCAGUUUCAAGUUUUUGUUUUAACACGGGGGUACCAACAAUGUGUAUGAUGUAUGACUACCUUAAAGCAUUUGUCGAUGAUCUCACCCAGCUGCUGAGAGAACCUUCAGAGGUAAACCUCUAAGGUGUGCUCCUUUUAUAAGCGAUGCUCCAGCAUGUGCUUUCUCCAAAACAGUGUGCUAUCCUCUGGUUCAGUCUUUAUCAUCUACAGUUGAUUUAGGUACAAAAAAAGCCCAUUUCACGUAUCCCAUCGAUUAAAUGCACCUCUGCUGUUUGGGGGUAAAUUUUGCCAUCACUAUUUCUUGUUACGGAGAUGAAGACAACUACUUGUCUCUUUCAUGCAUCUCCUUUGUCCACAUCUAUGUUUGGGGAAUGUAAUUUGAAGCCAUUCCGUAAGUGUUUGCUAUGCCUCAUUAUUUAUUUUACUGCAUACUACAUUGGCACACUUGGGAUUUUAUUUUUAUUUUAUUCAAUUUCUUCCCUUCUACAAUGCGGCAGCAUAAUCAUUACUACAGAUUUAUUUCCCCCACUUUAUUCUGUUUUUUGGGCAUUUCCUACCAGUGCAAAGAUGUUUAAAUUAGUCACUGAAAGCAGUGUUCUGAAAUGAUAUCAAAAAUAGUUGUGGCCUGUAUAUGUAAGCAUGGCCGUCACAUAUUUUUUUGUAAAGCUGUACAUGUCUUUAAAGAUAUUGAUGCGGACGUUUCCACAUUUACACUUCUCAGUGCAAAUGGUUUUUUGAAUAAGUUUCUGAAAGUAGUGCUUUGAGAUGUUUGAGAUAAACAUUUAAUGUGUUGGAAAUAUUUUUGGUCGCUGUGUCAUAAUUCAGCUUAAUAUUUAAUACAUUGUUUCUUAUGGCAUAUUAACGAGAAAAUGUCAAACUGGCACUGAAUGUUGAAAAGGUUGCUGACCCCUGGUUACUGUAUUCCCUCUCCCGCUCCAUUACAUGUAUGUUUGUUUAUUUCAAGUUAACUUGUUUUUCUGUGUUAUUACAACCUUGCAACACAUUUCUAUUAAUGUAGUUUGUUUAUUCCUUAACAGUUUUCAAAAAACACAAUCAAAUGGGUACUAAAACCUUAAUCUUUGUCAAGCCGAACUCUUGAGUAAUUAUUUCAAAGAAUAGGGGCGUGGAAAUCAAUAAGGUAAGUGGGCUUUGGGGCUUAUCUUAUGACUAACUUUGGAUCUGAACUAAUGUGAAUCGUGAGUAGAUCUCAUGGUGUUUACAUCGCUUUACUAGGAUUUCUAAAUUGCAGCUUCUGUGUUUUAACCCCUCUCAAAUGCUACUGUUGUAAUGGGGUUUUCUUAACCAGUGAUCUUUAUUGCAAUUGUGAAAGCUGUUUGUGUGAGCUUGCUAAAAGUAUAUAGACCAGUUUUCCUGCCAGAAAUAGUUGUAGCUGCGACAUUCAAUGGCCAUACCUGCAGAUUAUCUACAAGGAUAAGCAUUAAUUGAUCUCAUUACAAAAUGACAAUCGAAAUAUCAGGAAAAUUGCUAAUAUGCGUUACAACCUCAAUUCAACGCCAUUUCGACGUGUGGUAAAUGACGUUGAAAAUUAGCAAGCAAAUCAUCGUUGAAACAACGUAGUAUUUUCGACAUUCUCCGACCGUCGAGAUAACGACUAUCCACCACGUUGAUUCAACGGUGAAUUUUAGUCGUCUGACGGAAACCGACUAUUUUAACCAACAAUCAACCCGUUUUCGACGCCCCAUUGCUGUCUGGG